rnacentral:lncRNA from 1 species
UUCAGUCUAGGGAUCAGAGUGUCCUUGCAUCCCUUACCCCAUUGCCCUCAGUUCUGCUGAGGACCAGCACAUGAAGCUGUUGGCACAAUCAGGAAAGCUGUUCCACUUGAUGACAUCAUUGUUUCAACAAUGUCAAGAGACCCUUCAGAAUGGUCCUCUCCCUCCAUCUUUAUCUGAGAAAAAAGAAAAAAAAUACAGCUUUCCAGUAGACUCCAAGAUGGCUAAAUUCAAAUUUGAUUGUUUCUAGCCAGCACAUAUUUAUUACGGAUGCUCCCAGCCAGGUCAUGACUCAAGCUGUGAGAGAUGGUCUUCAAAUGACACUCUAACCCAUACCCUGGGUACCUGAUGGCACAGGCUGUGGUCUGCGAACAAAAUGAACAGAGAGUUUUGGUGGCGAAUGUUCUCUUUCCUAAGAAUGUGGACUAAGAAACUUAAGGCCUCAGAGGUAUACACAAUCGGGAUUUCACGGUGUAGCCUUGGCUGUCCAUACUUUUGUGUCUGAGGCUUCUGAUCGCUCUUCCAGAAAGAGAUGAGGUUUGUUUGUUUCAGAUACUUAUAUAACAUGGUUCCUAUCCCUUGAGGGAGCAUCAUCUACUGGAAUGUCACAGUAGAGUAGAAAUGGGGACCAAAUGGGAUCUUUGUCUCCAAGGCUGAGUCAUGUGAUUCAUUCUGAGAGGCCCAUAUCUAGCCAACUCAUAUCUAGUGAGUCUGGUGGCAGGUAAUGUGUUGGAGUGCUUCACUCUAUGUAAGGACUAGAUAGAAUGUGGCAAUGCAUUAUUAUGAACAUGACUCUUACAUUCCCAGUUUAAAAUGCAAGUUCUAUAGCCCUAGGGUUGACUCAACAGAAGAACAGCAUGUUGCUAAAAUAGCAGACUCUGCAUCCUGUGGAAGAAGCACCAUGCUACCCAACUCCAUCCGUAACCCAAAACCAGUUACUGGGCAUCUUGACUUUUCAACAGAGGUUGUGAAUGAACUCUUCUGCCUCCUAGUGGCCCCUGGUUUGAAGGACAUGCUGUAGCAUCCACCUGAGCCCAGAUGACUGGUGGUGGUGGUGGUGGUGGUGGUGGUGGUGUGACACCUGAAGACUCUGGCUUCGGACUGUGGAAAGAAGAAACAAAAGUAUUAACAGCCCUUCUCAUCUCCUUUCAUACUCCUGGCUCUGGGUUGUGACUCUGACAUGGACUCUGUUGCCUGCUUUUCGAUCACUUUCCCCUGGCGGGACUGCCUAGUCAGGCCUCAGGUGAAGAGGUCUAGUUCACUCCUGAUGCAACUUGAUAAACUGGAAUGGG